UUUCCGUAGGUGAACCUGCGGAAGGAUCAUUAAAGAAUUGCCCCGUCUUCUCGAAGAUGGGUUCUAUUCCAAACCGUGUUUACAUACCUUUGUUGCUUUGGCGGGCCGCCGUUUCGGCGUUGGCUCCGGCUGACUGCGCCCGCCAGAGAACCACAACUCUUUUGUUUAGUAAUGUUUGAGUACUAUAUAAUAGUUAAAAUUUUCAACAACGGAUCUCUUGGUUCUG
rnacentral:misc_RNA from 1 species